AGAGUUUGAUCCUGGCUCAGGAUGAACGCUAGCGGCAGGCUUAACACAUGCAAGUCGAGGGGCAGCGCGGGGCGGCAACGUCCUGGCGGCGACCGGCGGAAGGGUGCGUAACGCGUGAGCGACAUGCCCGUUGCCCGGGGACAACCGGUGGAAACGCCGACUAAUCCCCGAUGGGACGGAGGCCCUCAUGGGUCUCUGUUGAAAGUUACGGCGGCGACGGAUUGGCUCGCGUCCGAUUAGCUUGUUGGCGGGGUAACGGCCCACCAAGGCUACGAUCGGUAGGGGUUCUGAGAGGAAGGUCCCCCACAAUGGAACUGAGACACGGUCCAUACUCCUACGGGAGGCAGCAGUGAGGAAUAUUGGUCAAUGGGCGGAAGCCUGAACCAGCCAUGCCGCGUGCGGGAAGGAGGCCCUAUGGGCUGUGAACCGCUUUUGCCUGGGGGCAAUAAGGGCGUCGCGCACGUCCGAUGAGAGUACCAGGGGAAUAAGCAUCGGCUAACUCCGUGCCAGCAGCCGCGGUAAUACGGGGGAUGCGAGCGUUAUCCGGAUUCAUUGGGUUUAAAGGGUGCGUAGGCUGUGCGUCAAGUCAGGGGUGAAAUUCCGGGGCUCAACUCCGGGGCUGCCCUUGAUACUGUCGCGCUGGAGUGCGGAUGCCGCCGGAGGAAUGAGUGGUGUAGCGGUGAAAUGCUUAGAUAUCACUCAGAACACCGAUUGCGAAGGCAUCUGGCGAAUCCGUAACUGACGCUGAGGCACGAAAGCGUGGGGAUAGAACAGGAUUAGAUACCCUGGUAUUCCACGCCGUAAACGAUGAUGGCUAACCGCCGGCGACACACUGUCGGUGGCCAAGCGAAAGCGAUAAGCCAUCCACCUGGGGAGUACGUCGGCAACGAUGAAACUCAAAGGAAUUGACGGGGGCCCGCACAAGCGGAGGAACAUGUG
rnacentral:rRNA from 1 species